GACGAACGCUGGCGGCGUGCCUAAUACAUGCAAGUAGAACGCUGAAGGAGGAGCUUGCUUCUCUGGAUGAGUUGCGAACGGGUGAGUAACGCGUAGGUAACCUGCCUGGUAGCGGGGGAUAACUAUUGGAAACGAUAGCUAAUUCCGCAUAAGAGUAGAUGUUGCAUGCCAUUUACUUAAAAGGUGCAAUUGCAUCACUACCAGAUGGACCUGCGUUGUAUUAGCUAGUUGGUGAGGUAACGGCUCACCAAGGCAACGAUACAUAGCCGACCUGAGAGGGUGAUCGGCCACACUGGGACUGAGACACGGCCCAGACUCCUACGGGAGGCAGCAGUAGGGAAUCUUCGGCAAUGGACGGAAGUCUGACCGAGCAACGCCGCGUGAGUGAAGAAGGUUUUCGGAUCGUAAAGCUCUGUUGUAAGAGAAGAACGAGUGUGAGAGUGGAAAGUUCACACUGUGACGGUAUCUUACCAGGAAGGGACGGCUAACUACGUG
rnacentral:rRNA from 1 species